rfam:Stegodyphus mimosarum contig41896, whole genome shotgun sequence.
CAAAAGGCUCUUUUCAGAACCAAUUUUUUUUAAAAAAAUUUUCUCU